UACAGGGGGGGCAAGCGUUGUUCGGAAUUACUGGGCGUAAAGGGGUAGUAGGCGGCCAACUAAGUCCGACGUGAAAUCCCAAGGCUUAACCUUGGAACUGCGUCGGAUACUGGAUGGCUUGAAUUCGGGAGAGGGAUGCAGAAUUCCAGGUGUAGCGGUGAAAUGCGUAGAUAUCAAGUGGAACACCAGUGGCGAAGGCGAGUCUCUGGACAAUUCCUGACGCUGAGGCACGAAAGCCAGGGGAGCAAACGGG
rnacentral:rRNA from 1 species